CAAUUUUGUUAACACUAUGUUUCUGAUCUCUCAUGUAUUGCUGGUGGUGUGUACAUUGAUACAAGAUGCCAACAGAGGAAUUUGGCAAUAUCUGUCAAAGGUGAAAUUGCACAUAGCCUUUGCCUCAGAAGUUCCACUUGUAGGAAUUUAUCCAACAGACAUUUUUGCAUAUGUAUGAAAUGACAUGUAUGCAAAGAUGUUCAUUAUAGUAUUGUUUACAAUAGCAAAAUAUGAGGAAAAACUAAAUUUCAGUCAUUAGGGACUAAAAUUAUGAUACAAUCAUAUCAUGGGAUACUGAGUAGCUAUUAAAAACAAUGAAAAAG
rnacentral:lncRNA from 10 species